rnacentral:rRNA from 1 species
GAUGAACGCUGGCGGCGUGCCUAACACAUGCAAGUCGAACGAGAACCCAUUCUUCGGAUUGGGGGACAGUGGCGAACGGGUGAGUAACACGUUGGUGACCUGCCCCGAAGUGAGGGACAAUCCUGCGAAAGCGGGGCUAAUACCGCAUGUGCUCUAGGGGGUUAGAGGCCCCUGGAGUAAAGCUCCGGCGCUUCGGGAGGGCCUGCGGCCUAUCAGCUAGUUGGUGGGGUAACGGCUCACCAAGGCUAAGACGGGUAGGGGGCGUGAGAGCGUGGCCCCCCACAAUGGAACUGAGACACGGUCCAUACUCCUACGGGAGGCAGCAGUGAGGAAUAUUGCGCAAUGGGGGAAACCCUGACGCAGCAACGCCGCGUGGGUGAUGAAGGCCUUCGGGUCGUAAAACCCUUUUCUGGGGGAAGAGAAAGGACGGUACCUCAGGAAUAAGUCCCGGCUAACUACGUG